rnacentral:lncRNA from 1 species
UUGUGCUCAUUCGCACAUGCUUGUGAGGGUCGCUCCCCAUAAGCCGGCACUCCGGAGAUAGCUUAUGUGUCACGCCCCGGGACCGAUACCAAUUUGGCCCGACCCGAGCACGUCAAACAGACGCCGAACGGACAGGGUUUCCCCUAUCCGUCCAAGGCUCAUCACAUGUACAAAUUCAAACAAGAAAUGCACUAGCGGAAACAUACACAAACGACUUACACGAGGGUAAGCAAUAGCCAUUAGUGAAAGAAAGAAAAACUAAAUAUUUACAAGUACUAUGAUUCAUUUUUGAUCAUAUACAUUGCAUUCAUCUUGUUCACUUUCGAAUUCCUUACAUUUCAUUUCAUCAUUUCUUUCUUACAUCACAUUUACCUCAAAAUACACAUUACAUUCUUUUCUCAACAUCACUAGUCAUCAAAUACAAAAGAUGAACAAGGGUACUCUACUAACAAAAUGUAAGUCCAACUCAACUCUGGUGGCCUCUGUCUAAGGCGCGAUACCUUUACCUCGGUCGCUCGCCGGCUCGCUCGGUCCCGGCUCUGUGGAAAUAGUGGGGUGAGAAC